AAAGACGGACUAAUACCGCGUACACUCCAGCUUGGGCAUCCAAUGUAGAGGAAAUGAAAUUCGCUGUGAGAUAGGCAUGCGUCCCAUUAGCUAGUUGGUGAGGUAACGGCUCACCAAGGCGACGAUGGGUAGGGGAACUGAGAGGUUGAACCCCCACACUGGUACUGAGACACGGACCAGACUCCUACGGGAGGCAGCAGUGAGGAAUAUUGGUCAAUGGGCGAGAGCCUGAACCAGCCAAGUCGCGUGAAGGAUGACUGUCUUAUGGAUUGUAAACUUCUUUUAUACGGGAAUAACAAGAGUCACGUGUGGCUCCCUGCAUGUACCGUAUGAAUAAGCAUCGGCUAACUCCGUGCCAGCAGCCGCGGUAAUACGGAGGAUGCGAGCGUUAUCCGGAUUUAUUGGGUUUAAAGGGUGCGUAGGCGGCCUGUUAAGUCAGCGGUGAAAUCUAGGAGCUUAACUCCUAAAUUGCCAUUGAUACUGGCGGGCUUGAGUGUAGAUGAGGUAGGCGGAAUUCGUGGUGUAGCGGUGAAAUGCAUAGAUAUCACGAGGAACUCCGAUUGCGAAGGCAGCUUACUAAGGUACAACUGACGCUGAAGCACGAAAGCGUGGGUAUCAAACAGGAUUAGAUACCCUGGUAGUCCACGCAGUAAACGAUGAUAACUGGGCGUAUGCGAUAUACAGUAUGCUCCUAAGCGAAAGCGUUAAGUUAUCCACCUGGGGAGUACGCCGGCAACGGUGAAACUCAAAGGAAUUGACGGGGGCCCGCACAAGCGGAGGAACAUGUGGUUUAAUUCGAUGAUACGCGAGGAACCUUACCCGGGAUUGAAAUGUAGAUGACCGCUCCUGAAAGGGAGUUUUCCUUCGGGACAUCUAUGUAGGUGCUGCAUGGUUGUCG
rnacentral:rRNA from 1 species